GGAGGAAAAAAAAAAAACAAACAUCAGAUUCACAACCACAUGCUUGGAAAAACGGUGCUUGCUUACUUUGACAAAAACACUGCAGCAAGGUAAACACCCAUGAGAGAGAAAAGAACAUGCUUCGAGAACAAUGUUGGCACAGCAAAUGCUAAUAAACAGAUCUGGAAAGAAGAACAAAGCUAAAGAUGAGACAAGAUUUCCAAAUAACCUUCAAUCAGAGUAGCAGUCCUACUUCUGUGGGUCUAGUCUUUUCAAGGUGAAGCUUGAUACAUUUAUGAGUGAAAUUAUGUGAAGUCUUUGAAAAUGGGAAGCUGGACAAAAUGCUGGACUAGAAGAUUUUGUGAGUCCUAUACAGAACUCCGCAUUUGUUUAGCAAAGGACUUUCAUGCCAAGUAUAAAGGGGGACUUGCUAGAAUUAAUUUUCAUUAGGCUGUAUAACAGUCCCAAAUUUAAGUUGGGGAAAUGUAUUUGCUUAUGACAUUAGAAAUGCUGCUGGAUAAAGUACCACUGGGAGCUAUUCACUGGAAACUGUUUUUCAGGAUGGAUUUCCGUUCAGAUAAAUAUUCUUCAAUUGGGAGAAAAUGCUCCUUUUGAAUUUCAUGUCAAAGAUUAAACUUCCCCAAAUCUUACUGAGGCAUGAACUGUUGGAAAUGAAUUGUUUUUCUUCUGGAGCAAGAACCUUAAAAUCUGCCACACAUAGCUGGCCGUGUCUAAGCCCACCCUUAAAAUAAACAAGAUGUCUUUUCUUCUGUUGAAGAGGAAAUGUAAAGGAAGUAUGUAAAUUCAGUAAUCAAAACGCAGAUGGAAGGGAUACCUCCAAGUCCAGAAUUUAAGUUGUCCUACAGAUGGAGUGAAAUCCUGGAGAGGACAGAGGUGCAUGUGGAUACUACUCUGCCCUAAUCCAAAAAGCAGCUCAAGUCAGUCUAGAGCCCUAAAAAUAACAGAAAAGGAGUCUUGUGCUCCCAGUUUCAUCAGCUGAAGCCUAAAUCCUGAACUCUGUCACCUGGGGAUGCUGGAGUCUUUCAGUUCAGCUGCAAAAUCUUUCAGAUCUGACACCAAGCAUUGAGAUGUCUGCUGUGAUCUUGAGCUCUAUUGGCACAGCCUGCAUUGUGUGUGUUGUGUACUGCUUUGUCUAUAUGACUCACGUGUGGAUGCAAAUAUGGCCACCUACUCAGCAUUUAGAAAAUCCUGAAUAUAUACCUAGUGCCAUCUUAUGUGCGACUCACCAGGUUCAAGCUCCUCAAAUCGUUAUUUCAAAGGGGACGCUAAUGACCACCUCCCAGAGUCUGAAAAUAGGCCUGGUCAAGUCACAAAAGGGUUCUGUGGUUAUAGUCCCUUCUGUGGCUGAUCCAAAAUCCAGCUAGUGAAUGUUGAGGGGAAUAUAAGGUAUAAUCACUCUAGAAAGACAAUAACAACAAUUACAUCCAACAUUUAAAUACUCAUAGUGUCUUUCUGACUUGCAUAACUGCAGCUGUCAUCUCCUCUUUGAAGAUCAACAUAGACCCAGCUCUUAGUGGUUUAGUAAAAAAAUGAUAUUCUGGUGAAAUCUGGGGCACAGGCACUUCCAACUCACACUAUCAGUAAGUUAGAUUUUGAACAAGCACUUUGCAUUUUUUUAAUCAUUCUGAUAUUUUAAACUUUUGGUUCUUUACAGUAUCUUGAUGAUAGUAUUUUGAAAGAUCCUAAAUUAAUUAGGGUCCAACAGAAUUACAUUCAGAGGACUUUUAGCUUUAACUAGAUUUUGUAGAUUUUCCCUCAUUACUCCUUUCAGAUUUGUAAUGGUUCAUGACAUUAGCUUUGAUUCCCUUGGGUUUACUUCUUAUACAUUCUAAUAUUUGCUUAGCUUGUACAAAUAGCUCUGAUAUUUGCCUUGAAAAUUCUUCAUCCUAAAUGAAAAUGGUCUGCUGAAUCUUUAUUUCACAUUAAAAGCUUUUAAAGGAAUUAUCCCCUGGGCUAGGAAAAUCCAUGCAAUUAACAUAACUGUAACCCCAAACCUUUUCAGAGGUUAGAGAAACUUGUGUAUGUUUUGAGUUUUUAUUUUAUUUGUCAUUUACCUGCCUUUGCAGUACUUUCUGCUUUUUGAAAGAGCCACAAGCAGUUGUCAAAUGGAAAUGAAUCUGUCACUGAAUUGUUCUGAUUGAAUUAAACCAGCAAAUACUGAAAUACAGGAGAAAGCCUGUUCCAGUGAGACAUCCAAGAGUAGUUACUUG